rnacentral:piRNA from 1 species
GUCUGUAGUGUCUACAUGGCUGCAGCAAGA